CCAAUAGCGUAUAUUAAAGUUGUUGUGGUUAAAAAGCUCGUAGUUGAACCUUGGGCCUGGCUGGCCGGUCCGCCUCACCGCGUGUACUGGUCCGGCCGGGCCUUUCCCUCUGUGGAACCUCAUGCCCUUCACUGGGUGUGACGGGGAAGCAGGACUUUUACUGUGAAAAAAUUAGAGUGCUCCAAGCAGGCCUAUGCUCGAAUACAUUACCAUGGAAUAAUAAAAUAGGACGUGCGGUUCUAUUUUGUUGGUUUCUAGGACCGCCGUAAUGAUUAAUAGGGAUAGUUGGGGGCAUUAGUAUUCAAUUGUCAGAGGUGAAAUUCUUGGAUUUAUUGAAGACUAACUACUGCGAAAGCAUUUGCCAAGGAUGUUUUCAUUAAUCAAGAACGAAAGUUAGGGGAUCGAAGACGAUCAGAUACCGUCGUAGUCUUAACCAUAAACUAUGCCGACUAGGGAUCGGAUGAUGUUAAUUUUUUAAUGACUCAUUCGGCGCCUUACG
rnacentral:misc_RNA from 1 species